rnacentral:rRNA from 1 species
AGCAGCCGCGGUAAUUCCAGCUCCAAUAGCGUAUAUUAAAGUUGUUGUGGUUAAAAAGCUCGUAGUUGAACCUUGGGCCUGGCUGGCCGGUCCGCCUCACCGCGUGUACUGGUCCGGCCGGGCCUUUCCCUCUGUGGAACCCCAUGCCUUUCACUGGGUGUGGCGGGGAAACAGGUACUUUUACUUUAGAAAAAUUAGAGUGCUCCAGGCAGGCCUAUGCUCGAAUACAUUAGCAUGGAAUAAUAGAAUAGGACGUGUGGUUCUAUUUUGUUGGUUUCUAGGACCGCCGUAAUGAUUAAUAGGGACAGUCGGGGGCAUCAGUAUUCAAUUGUCAGAGGUGAAAUUCUUGGAUUUAUUGAAGACUAACUACUGCGAAAGCAUUUGCCAAGGAUGUUUUCAUUAAUCAGGAACGAUAGUUAGGGGAUCGAAGACGAUCAGAUACCGUCGUAG